UACGGAGGGUGCAAGCGAUGCUCGGACUUAUAGGGCGUCAAGCGCGUGUAGGCGGCUAUUUAAGUCUGGUGUGAAAGCCCGGGGCCUAACCCCGGAAGUGCACUGGAUACUGGAUGGCUAGAGGACGGGAGAGGAGAGUGGAAUUCCUGGUGUAGGGGUGAAAUCCGUAGAUAUCAGGAGGAACAUCGGAAGCGAAGGCGGCUCUCUGGCGCGUAUCUGACGCUCAGACGCGAAAGCGUGGGUAGCAAACAGG
rnacentral:rRNA from 1 species